GACGAACGCUGGCGGCGUGCUUAACACAUGCAAGUCGAACGGAAAGGCCCUGCUUUUGUGGGGUGCUCGAUUGGCGAACGGGUGAGUAACACGUGAGUAACCUGCCCUUACUUUGGUAUAACUUCAUAAAACUGGGGCUAAUACCGCAUAGGAGCUUCUGCUGCCUGGUGGGGGUUGGAAAGUUUCGGCGGUUGGGGCUGGACUCGCGGCUUAUCAGCUUGUUGGUGGGGGAUUGGCUGACCAAGGCUUUGCCGGGUAGCCGGCCUGGGAGGGGGACCGGGCACAUUGGUACUGAGAUAGGGCCCAGUCGCCUACGGGAGGCAGCAGUGGGAAAUAUGGCACAGUGGGCGGAAGCCUGAUGCAGCAACGCCGCGUGCGGGAUGACGGCCUUCGGGUGAUAAACCGCUUUCGCCUUAGACGAAGCGUGAGUGACGGUAAUGGGUAAGAAAGCACCGGCUAACUACGUG
rnacentral:rRNA from 1 species